GCCAAAAGACGCAACAGGGAUGAAAGGAGAGCAUUAAUGGGGUUGUCCUCACCUACCACGACUAGGAAACAACCCUUAUAUAUGAGGAAAGGCAAGGAAAGGCGCAGGGGUGCUAAGGAAUGGCCACGCUUUUAAUAGGGCAUGCCAUCCCUCCUCGUGGCUGUCCAAAAUUUGCAGGUGGUAGGUCAAAUCUGGUGCGCAAGGCAGAGGAAAGACCAUAAUCUCAUUAAAAGCCAUACUUUUUUUUGGGUGGAUUUUAGAAAGAAAUCAAAUAAAAUGUAAAAGGGGAGGUCGAUUAGAGCUGGGAGGAGAUUAGGUGGUGUAAAUCACAACCGGAUGCGGCUUUUUGGGUGCUUUCUGUAGGGUAUCAUGCAUCUCUCAUUUUUGCCUGGCUUGCUAAGGUUAAAUAUACACUUGUUGGAGUGAUUUGGGAGCCACUUUGACACUGGUGCAAAUGAUUUUUUAAUUUCUAAAAUUUAAAUUCUUAUUUGAGACUGAUUUUAUCCUUCUUUGUGAUUACUAUGGAUCAACUUAAGAUGUGAAAGUAUUUUGUUUGACCUAAGUUUGUAUUUAAAAGAGUGGUCUUAGUUAAUUUUCAUUUAAA